AACGAACGCUGGCGGCAUGCCUAACACAUGCAAGUCGAACGAGACCUUCGGGUCUAGUGGCGCACGGGUGCGUAACGCGUGGGAACCUGCCUUUAGGUUCGGAAUAACUCAGAGAAAUUUGAGCUAAUACCGGAUAAUGUCUUCGGACCAAAGAUUUAUCGCCUUUAGAUGGGCCCGCGUUGGAUUAGCUAGUUGGUGGGUAAAGGCCUACCAAGGCGACGAUCCAUAGCUGGUCUGAGAGGAUGAUCAGCCACACUGGGACUGAGACACGGCCCAGACUCCUACGGGAGGCAGCAGUGGGGAAUAUUGGACAAUGGGCGAAAGCCUGAUCCAGCAAUGCCGCGUGAGUGAUGAAGCUUAGGUUGUAAAGCUNUUUACCCGAGAUGAUAAUGACAGUAUCGGGAGAAUAAGCUCCGGUUAACUCGUGCCAGCAGCCGCGGUAAAGUGACUACUG
rnacentral:rRNA from 1 species